rnacentral:rRNA from 1 species
GACGGAGGAUGCAAGUGUUAUCCGGAAUCACUGGGCGUAAAGCGUCUGUAGGUGGUUCAAUAAGUCAACUGUUAAAUCUUGAGGCUCAACUUCAAAAUCGCAGUCGAAACUAUUGGACUCGAGUAUAGUAGGGGUAAAGGGAAUUUCCAGUGGAGCGGUGAAAUGCGUAGAGAUUGGAAAGAACACCAAUGGCGAAAGCACUCUGCUGGGCCGACACUGACACUGAGAGACGAGAGCUAGGGGAGCGAAUGGG